rnacentral:rRNA from 1 species
GAUGAACGCUGGCGGCGUGCCUAAUACAUGCAAGUCGAGCGAACAGACGAGGAGCUUGCUCCUUUGACGUUAGCGGCGGACGGGUGAGUAACACGUGGGUAACCUACCUAUAAGACUGGGAUAACUUCGGGAAACCGGAGCUAAUACCGGAUAAUAUUUCGAAACGCAUGGUUCGAUAGUGAAAGAUGGCUUUGCUAUCACUUAUGGAUGGACCUGCGCCGUAUUAGCUGGUUGGUAAGGUAACGGCUUACCAAGGCAACGAUACGUAGCCGACCUGAGAGGGUGAUCGGCCACACUGGAACUGAGACACGGUCCAGACUCCUACGGGAGGCAGCAGUAGGGAAUCUUCCGCAAUGGGCGAAAGCCUGACGGAGCAACGCCGCGUGAGUGAUGAAGGUCUUCGGAUCGUAAAACUCUGUUAUUAGGGAAGAACAAACGUGUAAGUAACUGUGCACGUCUUGACGGUACCUAAUCAGAAAGCCACGGCUAACUACGUG